AAGCCAGCACCAGUAAGGCCGACUUCUAAUCGGACUUAGGUUGUUAAGUCUACCCUGGUUUU
rnacentral:tRNA from 1 species